GUCCCUGGUCCAGACGGAGGGGAUUUGGUCUGCAAGUAAAGGUUUGCCAGUGAAAAUCACACAAGCUUGAAUAUUUAUAGUACCAAUAAUAAGGUACUCAUUUCUUUGAAUAUUUAUAUUACAUUUCUUUGAAUAUUUAUAUUAAAGUAUUAUAGGCCUAUCAAUGAUCCAUGAACGAGGGGAACAUGCACGGUAAAGUAAACUCACGCUGGAGGAGCAGCUCGAAGAAGUAAUCGAAAUCAGUAGUGCGAUCGACGCUGUAUAGGUCAAAGCUGCCGCGUCGGUU